UUAGCCUUUCGAAUGACUAGGAGGUGCAAACUAUUCUGCAACACCUUUUGGUUCAGACAAAGGCUUACAUCAAUUGAUCGGAUAUAAAAUUCCAUUACGGAAUCCGUUUGAGGGAGUCGAACGUUUUCUUCUUUGUUCCUCUUCCGGAUAGCUUCGGACAUUU